rnacentral:rRNA from 1 species
UACGUAGGGGGCGAGCGUUGUCCGGAGUUACUGGGCGUAAAGCGUGCGCAGGCGGUUUUGUAAGCCAGGUGUGAAAUCCCCGGGCUCAACCUGGGAAUGGCGUUUGGGACUGCAAGGCUGGAGUGCGGCAGAGGAGACUGGAAUUCCUGGUGUAGCAGUGAAAUGCGUAGAUAUCAGGAGGAAUACCGAUGGCGAAGGCAGGUCUCUGGGCUGACACUGACGCUCAUGCACGAAAGCGUGGGGAGCAAACAGG